rnacentral:rRNA from 1 species
AGCAGCCGCGGUAAUUCCAGCUCCAAUAGCGUAUAUUAAAGUUGUUGCAGUUAAAAAGCUCGUAGUUGAAUUUCGGGAUCAAUUUAUCGGUCGUACCAAUGGUAUGAACUGGUACAAUUGGUUUCUCCCUUCUGACGAAGCAUGAUGUCAUUAAUUUGGUGUCGUGGGGAAUCAGGACUGUUACUUUGAAAAAAUUAGAGUGUUUAAAGCAAGCAUUAGCUUGAAUACAUUAGCAUGGAAUAAUGAAAUAGGACGUUUGAUCCUAUUUCGUUGGUUUCUAGGAUCGACGUAAUGAUUAAUAGGGAUAGUUGGGGGCAUUAGUAUUCAAUUGUCAGAGGUGAAAUUCUUGGAUUUAUUGAAGACUAACUACUGCGAAAGCAUUUGCCAAGGAUGUUUUCAUUAAUCAAGAACGAAAGUUAGGGGAUCGAAGACGAUCAGAUACCGUCGUAGUCUUAACCAUAAACUAUGCCGACUAGGGAUCGGAUGAUGUUAAUUUUUAAUGUACUCAUUCGGCGUACCC